GUACUUGCACAGUGCUUGGCAGUUUGAGGAUCUCCAACAUGUUUCUGACCAUGGAAUCGAUUAAAAACUUUUUAAACCUGCCCUGCCAUUAUUUUGACCUGGAAAGCAAAAGGACACACUUCAGAUGCCUAGCAGGGCAGGGGCUGUGUGUCGCACCGUGCCCUGUUGGACUGCACCCCUGCUGCUGGAGAGGGGCUCUCCUGGGGCCAGAGUGGAUUCACGGGAACCACGAGCCAUGGGAAGCAGUUAAAGAAAUAAUGCACCAGAAGAGCACAAGCAGUUUGUCUGCCCCUUCCCGCGGAGCACUUCACCAAGGGGGAAGCAGGAGCCUCCAGAAGAACAUGCUUCCAGACUCGGGCCUGGCCUGCAGAAGGUGAAGUGCCAACAGUCUGUCAGGAAACAAAUGAAAAGUUUUCUGUAAUGCUUCCUCCCAGGGUUGGAGAAGAAGCCACCGUAAUCUGAAGGUCAACGGUGAUGGAGGACAUUCAUCCCUACCUUUAAAUAUAGCUUAAAUCAGGAAGAAAUGCAGUUUCUUUUCUUUGUACUUUGUUUUCAUGGCAUACCCUGACACAGUGUGUUUCUGCAAAGCUUAAAGAGUGUGUGUCUUGACACAAUGGGAUGGUGGUUAUUUUAUUACAGUUCUGAAGGGCUAAUUUUAUAUCACAUAACAGAGGUCUCUAGUCUUCAUCAGAGUCCAGAACGGGUAGGAGUCUAGGACUGAGUCCUUCCGUGUUAAUUACAAUCUUUCCUGCUUCCAAAAAUACAUGGAUUUAGAGUAUCAGAUCACAUAAGUAUCCAGAGAAAUGCCUCUGCUGCUACUGCAUUCUUAAAUAACAGUAAUUAAAACAUACGGAUUUUAUCUCAGUUACUUUUUAUAUAUAGCUCUUUGGCAGUUUCUGCUAUGAUGAAGUACCUUGGAUAAACUAAUAAAAACAACCACGUUCUUCAAUUUCCAUAGUAAUAUCAAACAAUGAAAUUUGGGCGAAUGAUUAGUAUACAUUUUACUGUUCACAAUGGACUGCUUGUAGUCCUGUGGGUUGGAUACCUGAUGAUGCAUUAGCAGGGAAGAACAAAAUCCACUGCAGAGUUGGCAUCGUUAAGUCUUAAUUUUGAUACCCAGUACUACAUCUCAUUUUGAUAUUGCACCUAACAUUGCUAAUGUUAGUCUCGGUUAUAUACUUAUAGACAACUGUUUCUACCUACAUAGAAAACCAAAAUGAAACUGUUGCUUUUUAAUUAGCAGAAUCAUUUACUUCCAAGUGUCUUUUUACUUCUGUGCUGAAACUGCUAAAGCCCUGGCUAUGGUGUGGCAGCUCUUCGGUUCACACAGCAGCAACUUGCUCCCUUCCCCCAGAGGCCCCCCUGUCGUGAUGUAGUCAAGGAUUGUAACAGUCUUCAGGCUGUCAGUACAUAAAAAUCCCAUGGCUGGCCUACAAUGGAUUUCUGUGUUUUUAUAGCCAGGGAAAACACAGCAUGUUUUGUUUUGUUUUGUUUUCCUGUCUUCUCUGCUAUGUUAAAUAUUAGUCUGACAUAUGACUGUAAUUAGUAAGUACCUUGUAGUGAAGGAAAUACAGAUCUCCAAGUGAUAGAGAGUUCAUUAACUAGACAUGUCUAAUUAUUAUCUUUGUAUGCACAGCCUGCCAAGGAAUUCAGUCAAAUACAGUAUAUUAGAAAUGACUGGCAUUAAAAUUUCCUGUGGUGUCUCGUACUUUUGGAGGCUGGGGAAAUGUUGCAGGGUGCAUGGCACAAGCAGUACUGUGAGAGCAGAGAUUAUCAGUGAUGCUCAUUGCAGUGUUUCCUCCAAGGAUAUCCAGCCUUCCAGCUGCUGUUUUAUUCUUUAUAGGUAGAAAUCUUUUAUUAUCCUGAGAAAGAAAAAAAUGAAGAGGUAUUUACUGCCUUUUCUUUUUCUUACUCUGAACUAUAUAGACAUAUUUGGCAUCUUCAAGUCACAUCUUUCUGUUGACAAACAGCAGCAAAGAUUUUUCAGGGGUGGACUCCAUUUAUGUUCUGCAGUUCAGCAAAAUUUGCUCUGUUUUUUUUAAACACCAUGUAGCAUUAAUGAGCACUGCAUAUACUUAGGAGUAAAACUACUGCAUGGUUUAUUGACAUGUGUUUCAUUUAUGCAGCCUGAAUAAACAGACGCUUCUCUGUGCAUCUGUGGCUGUAACUGUUCUGCUUGUCAGCUCUAAAAUCAGUGAGAUUAGCAGGAGGUAUCAUCAUCUCUUUUGUUCACUGAUGAGGAGCAGUGUAUGCUCCAAACGCUUUCAGAUACAAUGGUCAGUAAACACCCUGGGGUAAGAGUGGAAAGAGUGGGCUGAUCCCUGAAAUAUGCUCUCCUUGGGAUAUAAUGCUGUGAUGUGUGCACCGAUACAUGGGCCAGCCUUUGUGAGCUCUUAACAUUGUGAGGAAGUAACGCUCUGAAUGUAUAUAGAAAAGGUUCUUGUAACUUCUAGUGCCCAGCAAGGGCAAGAUGCGCUCUUAGGAAGUUUGGAAUAAAUAUCUAGUCAUGAGCUGAAUUUAUGAUGCUGAAUCAAUGACAGUCUAAGUAAAAGCCCUGAUUUGCUGUGCUACCAGACCAGUUGAAUGUGCUGUCCUGUGUAGCAGAGAAUGGUAGUAAUUAACCCAGAUUAUGACCUCUAAGUUUUGAAAAGAAAAAAAAAA